AGAUUUAUCGCUAAAGGAUUGGUCUAUGUCCUAUCAGCUUGUUGGUGAGGUAAAGGCUCACCAAGGCGAUGACGGGUAUCCGGCCUGAGAGGGUGAACGGACACACUGGAACUGAGACACGGUCCAGACUCCUACGGGAGGCAGCAGUAGGGAAUAUUGCUCAAU
rnacentral:rRNA from 1 species